UAAUGUCUGGGAAACUGCCUGAUGGAGGGGGAUAACUACUGGAAACGGUAGCUAAUACCGCAUAAUGUCGCAAGACCAAAUGGGGGACCUUCGGGCCUCAUGCCAUCAGAUGUGCCCAGAUGGGAUUAGCUAGUAGGUGGGGUAACGGCUCACCUAGACGACGAUCCCUAGCUGGUCUGAGAGGAUGACCAGCCACACUGGAACUGAGACACGGUCCAG
rnacentral:rRNA from 1 species